rnacentral:tRNA from 1 species
UGGGUUGUAGCUCAGUGGUAGAGUGCUUGUAUAGCAUGUAUGAGGCACUGGGUUUGAUUCUCAGCACCACAU